rnacentral:rRNA from 1 species
GCGUGUAGCAAUACACGAGUGGCGCACGGGUGAGUAACGCGUGGAUAUCUGCCUUUUGGUUCGGAAUAACUCCGGGAAACUGGAGCUAAUACCGGAUGGUUCCUACGGGAUAAAGAUUUAUCGCCAAAAGAUGAGUCCGCGUACGAUUAGCUAGUUGGUGAGGUAAUGGCUCACCAAGGCGACGAUCGUUAGCUGGUCUGAGAGGACGAUCAGCCACACUGGGACUGAGACACGGCCCAGACUCCUACGGGAGGCAGCAGUGGGGAAUAUUGGACAAUGGGGGCAACCCUGAUCCAGCCAUGCCGCGUGAGUGAUGAAGGCCUUCGGGUUGUAAAGCUCUUUUGGCGGGGACGAUGAUGACGGUACCCGCAGAAUAAGCCCCGGCUAACUUCGUGCCAGCAGCCGCGGUAAGACGAAGGGGGCUAGCGUUGUUCGGAAUUACUCGGCGUAAAGCGAGUGUAGGUGGUUGUCAUAGUCAGGUGUGAAAGCCUUGAGCUCAACUCAAGAAAUGCACUUGAUACUGGGCGACUAGAGGACCGGAGAGGAUAGUGGAAUUCCCAGUGUAGUGGUGAAAUACGUAGAGAUUGGGAAGAACACCAGUGGCGAAGGCGGCUAUCUGGACGGUUUCUGACACUAAGACUCGAAAGCGU